rnacentral:tRNA from 1 species
AAAACUUUAGUUAAUUUAUAAUGUCGGCCUGUCAGACCGAUGUAGUGGGUUAGACCCCCACAGGUUUUG